GCACUGCUGAGGAGUCCCAAACUAGGACGAAACGGCCGUUCAGUGU
rnacentral:hammerhead_ribozyme from 1 species